CGAACGUUAGCGGCGGGCCUAACACAUGCAAGUCGAACGAGAAAGUCCUUCGGGGCGAGUACAGUGGCGCACGGGUGAGGAACGCGUAGGUAAUCUACCCUCCGGCGGGGGACAACAUUCCGAAAGGAAUGCUAAUACCGCAUAAGACCACGCUCACUACGGUGAGAGUGGUAAAAGGCGCCUCAAAGCGCCACCAGAGGAUGAGCCUGCGUCCCAUCAGCUUGUUGGUAAGGUAACGGCUUACCAAGGCUAAGACGGGUAGCUGGUCUGAGAGGAUGAUCAGCCACACUGGCACUGGAACACGGGCCAGACUCCUACGGGAGGCAGCAGUGAGGAAUAUUGGGCAAUGGGCGAAAGCCUGACCCAGCCACGCCGCGUGUGUGAUGAAGGCCUUCGGGUCGUAAAGCACUGUGGGGAGAGACGAAACAGCGCAUCAGGAAAUGGUUGCGCCUUGACGGUACCUCCUUAGCAAGCACCGGCUAACUCU
rnacentral:rRNA from 1 species